UAUAUAUAUAUAUAUAUAUAUAUAUAUAUAUAUAUAAUGUUGAAAUUUCUGAAGGUUGUUUGCUUGUUUCAUUCCCUGGAAGUUACACUAAAUAAUAGUUGAAACUUUGUACCCUUUGAUAAUUGGAAACAUUGAUGAUGCUGAAUUUAUAUUCGGUUAAAUUAACAAGAAAACACCCUUGACGUUAUUAAUACAAUUUAACUGUUAUGGUAAUGCCGAUCUUUAUAUUUUCUGAUAAUGAAAUUGUAAACGUAAUCCUGAUCUCUUUAAUCCUCUGUGAUAAUACUGGUACUUUUGAUCUCAGGUUCAAACUACUAAUAUCUUAAAUGUAUAUCUUAAAAUGAUCCACAGUAUAACAUGCUUCUGGUUUCUCUGUGAACAUUGUAUUCUUCCACCAUUAGAACUCCAAUGUUAAAUGAUCCACAGUGUAAUAUGCUUCUGGUUUCUCUGUGAACAUUGUAUUCUUCCACCUUUAGAACUCCAAUGUUAAAUGAUCCACAGUGUAACAUGCUUCUGGUUUCUCUGUGAACAUUGUAUUCUUCCACCUUUAGAACUCUUAAGUGAAAAUGUGUGAUUCCUAACUAAUCAGUUCAAUGAUUUUGUUCAGUUUUUCAAAAAUUCAACUUUUAUUUUGUUUUAACUUCAGUAGGUUUUUUGCCAUUUCUUUUUUGUCUGUGUUUAUUGUAUAUAUGAUUGCUUCAUUGUUGUAAAUAGACAUUAAUCCAGGGUUUGUUAUUUGAUUAUAUAAUGCUGAUAUUUGUUUGAAAGCUGUCAUUCUUUUUAUUCUUCUGAUACUUUUGUGAGCAUUUACGAUUUGGCAUAAAGCUGUGCUUUUCUGUAUAUGCCAGUACCAAAGUGGCAUUAUUCAGUUGGGAUUAAAAUGUCCCCAGUUGUUGUUCAGAAGUCAUGCUCACUGUUAAAGGCUGCCAUUAUUUUAUUUAUAAGUUAAUUCCUAGAGAAUAUGCAAACCAUAAUGUGGAUGAUUCUAUUUCAGAAUUCAUUGUUUGAAAAUAUUUUUGGCUUCAUGUGUGACAUAAAUGUUAAAAUGAAUUAAUGGAUUUGUUCAUCACAUUUAUUUAUGAUUUUAUUUUUCAAGUAAACUUUAAUGAGGAAUGAUUGUUAUGUAAAUACAAUGUAAAUAAUGACAGGUGACUGGUUUUAUAGUGUAAGUAUCAUGUAAUAUUUAGUUCUACCAUAUAUAUCAUUUUUUUCUUCCAUUUCUCCAAAAUCAAUGGAAAUAAACCUUGCUCAUAUGUAGCAUAACAAAUCCAGAAAUUUCACUAAUCUUCAAUGUAAUUUUUUGAUAACUUUAGAAAUUUACUUGCAGCUUGUCUUAUUUGGUCUGUGAAUAAUAAUAUGAAUACUGCAAGGCUAUUUGCAAUUUUCACGUCCCUUAAUUACUUAACUUUGAAAAUUCAUCUAUAGAUUACAAACAGUUGUUGCUUUUCCUCCUUUAAACACUUCUUUUCUUUUUACACCCACCUUUUAAUCAUACAUUAAGACAACAUAUGGUUUCGCUAUGACAUUAGAUCUAAGAUUUGAUAUAACAAGUCAACACAUGAGCUUUAUUUCACAAUGUAUGAAUCUUAUAUUAAAAUGUUCACUUGUCCAGGUUUGAUUAUUUGUUUAUAUUUAUGAAUUUGAUAAAAUUCUAAUUUUGUUUCAUUUUUGCUUUCCAUGUAGCUUAUUGACAUGACUUUUGCUUGUAUUUUUUUUUUUAAUAUUUAUUUAGCUUUAAAACUUGAUUAAAAUUGCUUGUAUCUUUUUUUAAAUAUUUAAUUAGCUUUAAAACCUGAUAACCUGUGAAACAAAAUGAUUUUAUCACAUUUUAAUAUAUAAGAUUAUUUUACUUUAUAUUUUGCAUAAUAUAAACGGUGAUCAAAGUUUACUCAUAUAUUUAGUUACUAUGAAUCCUACUUUAAAAGCUUUACUCCUGUGAUCAAAAGUUGUAUAGUUUUUGUGAAGUUUGCUCAAAAUAAGAUCAGUAUCUUUGCAUAUCAAACAUUUUAUAAACAGAAGAUAUACAUUUAUAACAUAUAGUGUAGCUCCAAAGGUGUCAAAAAUAUUGCAUAUUGUUAAAAUGAGUUCUGAGUAAUAUAUAGCUAAAUCUUACUGAAUUCCUUUUUACUUAUACCAGUUUACUGUAUUAUAAUUUUUAUUUGGCUAGUAAUUAUUAAAUGAGCAAUUUAAAAAUAAGAUGAAUUCAAGAUCUGUAAAAUGUAACAAUCUUGAGACAGACUCACAACAUCCCUGUCUGGAUAAAUAUUUCCCACAUAAAAGUGUCAAUGAUAUUGACCUUUUUUAUUUUAAAUAGAAAGAAGGGGGAAAUUCUAUACUAUGGCCCGUUAUUUACUAGAUUUAUCAGUACCAGUUCCUAUGGUAUUUGAUAUUUUGAGUACCAAAGUUGCCUGAGUAUACCAUUGUUGAUCUUAAUUCAGAACUAAUCUUCUGUUAGUUAAAGUACAUUAUUUUUACAUGUCAAGUUUUGAACAGUAUUGUUCUGAAAAGAGUGCAUUGAGCUGAAUCUCUUGCUAUAUAUAACUGCUUUGUGUUGAAUCUCUUGCUUUAUAUUAUAUGUUUUAUUGUAUUUUUUUGCUACUGUGCCUUUAUUUUGUGUCAUGUAUGACAUUGUUAUUUUGAAUUGAUCAAGUGCUCACUCCUUAGUGUCUUGUGUACAUACCAUAGUGCUCACAUUUCUAUUAUUGGUUUACAGUCCUAGUGCUAAACACAAAUUUAUAAAUUUAUUUGCCGAAUGUUCAAGUGCUACCUUUUUACAUAAUCUUUAAAAUAAGAUUUUAUGGUUCAAUCCUUAAAAAAUAGGUUGAACCUUAAUUUUGUCUCUGAUACCUUCUUUGGGAAAGAAAAAGAAUUAAAAAAGUAAGAUACAGACAAAAUAAAUUAUGUUUAAUAUCUAUGAAGCACUAUUUUCCUGACAUUGACCAAAUGAAUACUUCCUCAAGCAGACAAGCUGGAUCCUAGCUAAUAGUUUCAACUAAUCACUUAUUCCAAAAGCUAUGUUGUUUAUGCAUUUAUUAGAUGUUUAUUUAGAAUACCAAUCACAGCUAUUUUCUUUAUAAAUUCAUAGUCAAGGGGCAUUUCUGUUUAAAGGCUGAAUAUUUUUUUAUCACCAUGUUUUUAUUUUUUUAUCAUAUGUUUAUGCUUUACAACAGUUGUACAACAUUUCCCCAUAAAACAAUCAUUUGAAAGUUAAAGGCUGAUACAUUUAUUUCUUAAAGAUUUUCCACUGACUAAUAAAACUGUAUAAAGAAAAUUUCUUGACAAAUAUUUCCAAAAUUAAAAGUUGAAUAUUAUUCUUGACUGAUUAGUUAAAUUCCUUACAUGUAACAAAAUCACAGGUUUUAGUUGCUAACUUUUUGUAACCAUCAACAAUUAUUUGAAUAUCUAUUAUUUAUAAGUAGUAAAGUUAAUAUUAGGGUUAGAUUUGUGAGUGAAUUUUUUUUUGCAUACUUUGAAUGUUAUAAGUAUAUGGUAUACAUUUUAUUUAAUCAAAUUCUUUGUUUCUUUGUUUUAUUUUUUAUUCAGUGUGGUUAUAAAUUUGACUUUGUUGUAUAAAAGUGGUAAACAUGUACAGAGUAAUUACCUGUUGUCAAUGCUUAACUGAUUUACUUUUGAAAUACUUAUUUUUUCCAAUACAGCCUUUGGCAGCUAUUUUAUUGCACAAAUCAUAUUUUCCUUGCUUUUAAAUAAAUGAAAUUGAUGAACAAACAAUGAAUUGCCACAAAGUGUUUCAUUUUAAUAAAGAAUUUGCUUGAAAUUGUUUUUUUGUUGUUCUUACAUGAAUUAGGUUGGAAAGAAGGGGUACCAAUAAAAUCACGUUGGAAAGAAGGGGUACCAAGAAAAUCAUGUUGGAAAGAAGGGGUACCAAUAAAAUCAACCAAUCUGCAGUCUUAUAUAAACAGAGUAUAUCUUUUAUAUAUUUGUACAUUGCCUGGUAUAUAUUUGAUUUGGGGCAAGCUGAAGCAGGUCUCUG
rnacentral:lncRNA from 1 species